rnacentral:rRNA from 1 species
AUGGCGAUCAUGCGGCCCGGGAGUCGCGGGAUCAAAUCGAAUCCCACAAUAGAACUGGCAAAAGGCAGCGACAGCACUGCACUAGACUCCAAUGCCAGAUCGGUCCAUGGAUCUGCUUGCUUGCUCCCAAAGACGACUCGCCAAGGUCGUCCGGCCACUGGCCACCUCGCGCGUCACGGAUCCUUCUCGGCUCCCCCACACGGCUCUGUAGUAUACUACUCCCCAGUCCACACGCCCGCUCACCCGUCCAAGCAAGCACAAGCAACCGACGCCGAACCCAUCUUAUCGGGCUUUUCUUUCUUCCUCGCAAAGAAAGAAAAAGGGCGUCCUCGCGCAGCCGCCAGGAGCGUCUUCUUCGCCGCCGUCCUCUACUUCCAAGCCCACCCGGCGACACCUCGCGCAGGACGAUGUCGGUCGCCCGGAGAUCAACUGCAGGACGAUGCCGGCCGCCCGGAGAUCAACUGCAGGACGAUGCCGGCCGACCGGAGAUCCACUACAGCGGUGACGGUCCUCGCAUCGGUGUCCAUGCGAGACGUUCUUCAAACACGUCAUUGUCACCAUCGACACUGCGCCGCCCGAUACGCCUACGCAAUGGACUCGCACCGGACAGAUCCCGCCAUCGGUCAGAGGCAGUCCUCCCAGAAGCUGCAGAGGGCAACGCGGACGGCCAUUGCCCCUUCCAACUUGCACGGGACGACACCAGUCAAUGGAUCCGGACUAAUCAGACCACAGAAUCCAACGAAGAGAGAGACAGAGUACACUCCGCUCGCCGGCCGUUCCAUUUUCCUCCGCCCUCCCCGCCUUGUCCCGUUGCUGAGUUGCCGUCGGCUCGCCCGAAGCAGUUCGCCGCCGUUGAAGGACCAUCCCAGCUCGCUCGCCGCCAUGAAGAAGGUUGUGGUGAAGCUGGACGUGAACGACGACAGGCACAAGGCCAAGGCGCUCAAGGCCGUCUCCGGUCUCCACGGCAUCGACCAGCUGGGCGUGGACAUGAAGGAGCAGAAGAUGACCAUCGUGGGCACCGUCGACCCCGUCGCCGUCGUCGCCAAGCUGCGCAAGCUCUUCCCGGGCGCGCAGAUCUUCUCCGUUGGCCCGGCUAAGGAGGAGAAGAAGGACGACAAGAAGGACGGCGGCGGCGACAAGAAGGCCGGCGGAGACAAGAAGGACGGCGACAAGAAGGACGGCGGCGACAAGAAAGACGGAGACAAGAAGGACGGCGGCGACAAGAAGCCGGCCGUGCCGGUGUGCCCGCCCUACUGGUACCCGAUGCCGCCGCAGCCGCGCUACAUCGUCCACAGCGCCGAGGAGGACCCCAACUCGUGCGUCAUCUGCUGA